GACGAACGCUGGCGGCGUGCCUAAUACAUGCAAGUAGAACGCUGAAGGAGGAGCUUGCUUCUCUGGAUGAGUUGCGAACGGGUGAGUAACGCGUAGGUAACCUGCCUGGUAGCGGGGGAUAACUAUUGGAAACGAUAGCUAAUACCGCAUAAUAGUAGAUGUUGCAUGACAUUUGCUUAAAAGGUGCAAUUGCAUCACUACCAGAUGGACCUGCGUUGUAUUAGCUAGUUGGUGGGGUAACGGCUCACCAAGGCGACGAUACAUAGCCGACCUGAGAGGGGGAUCGGCCACACUGGGACUGAGACACGGCCCAGACUCCUACGGGAGGCAGCAGUAGGGAAUCUUCGGCAAUAGACGGAAGUCUGACCGAGCAACGCCGCGUGAGUGAAGAAGGUUUUCGGAUCGUAAAGCUCUGUUGUAAGAGAAGAACGAGUGUGAGAGUGGAAAGUUCACACUGUGACGGUAUCUUACCAGAAAGGGACGGCUAACUACGUG
rnacentral:rRNA from 1 species